UACGGUCAAAUCACGCUGAAAACACCGGUUCUCGUUCGAUCACCGAAGUUAAGCAUCGUAGAGCCAGGUCAGUACUUAGAUGGGGGACGGCUUGGGAACACCUGGUACUGUAAG
rnacentral:rRNA from 1 species